rnacentral:rRNA from 1 species
GACGAACCGUGCGAACGUUGUUCGGAAUCACUGGGCUUAAAGGGCGCGUAGGCGGCAGUUCAAGUCCGGGGUGAAAGCCCCCAGCUCAACUGGGGAAGUGCCUUGGAAACUGGAUUGCUUGAGGGAGGUAGGGGUCGAGGGAACUUCUGGUGGAGCGGUGAAAUGCGUUGAUAUCAGAAGGAACGCCGGUGGCGAAAGCGCUCGACUGGACCUUUUCUGACGCUGAGGCGCGAAAGCUAGGGGAGCAAACGGG